rnacentral:rRNA from 1 species
UACAGGGGGUGCAAACGUUGCUCGGAAUCAUUGGGCGUAAAGCGCACGUAGGCGGUCUGUUAUGUCGGAUGUGAAAGCCCUUGGCUUAACUGAGGAAGUGCAUCCGAAACUGGCAGGCUAGAGUACUAAAGAGGGUCGCGGAAUUCCCGGUGUAGAGGUGAAAUUCGUAGAUAUCGGGAGGAACACCGGUGGCGAAGGCGGCGACCUGGGUAGAUACUGACGCUGAGGUGCGAAAGCGUUGGGAGCAAACAGG